CAAUAGCGUAUAUUAAAGUUGUUGCAGUUAAAAAGCUCGUAGUUGAACCUUGGGGUCUGGCUGGCCGGUCCGCCUCACCGCGAGUACUGGUCCGGCUGGACCUUUCCUUCUGGGAGCAUCAUGCCUUGCACUGGCUGUGGGAGGACCGAGACUUUACUGUUAAAAAUUAAGAGUGUUCAAAGCAGGCCUUUGCUCGAAUACAUUAGCAUGGAAUAAUAGAAUAGGACGUGUGGUUCUAUUUUGUUGGUUUCUAGGACCGCCGUAAUGAUUAAUAGGGAUAGUCGGGGGGCGUCAGUAUUCAGCUGUCAGAGGUGAAAUUCUUGGAUUUGCUGAAGACUAACUACUGCGAAAGCAUUCGCCAAGGAUGUUUUCAUUAAUCAGGGAACGAAAGUUAGGGGAGUCGAAGACGAUUAGAUACCA
rnacentral:rRNA from 1 species